rnacentral:rRNA from 1 species
UACGUAGGGGGCUAGCGUUGUCCGGAAUUAUUGGGCGUAAAGAGCUUGUAGGCGGUCUGUCGCGUCUGCUGUGAAAAUCCGGGGCUCAACCCCGGACUUGCAGUGGGUACGGGCAGACUAGAGUGUGGUAGGGGAGACUGGAAUUCCUGGUGUAGCGGUGAAAUGCGUAGAUAUCGAGAAGAACGCUCGUGGCGAAAGCGAAACCCUGGACAGUUUCUGACGCUGAUGCGCGAAAGCGUGGGGAGCAAACAGG